GGCAGCAGUGGGGAAUUUUCCGCAAUGGGGGAAACCCUGACGGAGCAACGCCGCGUGGAGGAUGAAGGCCCUCGGGUCGUAAACUCCUGUCGAUCGGGAAGAAUGCGUCCGGCCUAAUACGUCGGCACGUUGACUGUACCGGUGGAGGAAGCCACGGCUAACUCUGUGCCAGCAGCCGCGGUAAGACAGAGGUGGCAAGCGUUGUUCGGAAUUACUGGGCGUAAAGGGCGCGCAGGCGGUCUGCCAAGUCUCGUGUGAAAUCCCCCGGCUCAACUGGGGAACUGCGCGGGAUACUAGUGGACUUGAGUUCGGGAGAGGAAAGCGGAAUUCCGGGUGUAGCGGUGAAAUGCGCAGAUAUCCGGAGGAACACCAGUGGCGAAGGCGGCUUUCUGGACCGACACUGACGCUGAGGCGCGAAAGCUAGGGGAGCGAACGGGAUUAGAUGCCCCGGUAGUCCUAGCCCUAAACGAUGAGCACUGGGUGUAGGGGGUAUGAACCCCCCCUGUGCCGAAGCUAACGCAUUAAGUGCUCCGCCUGGGGAGUACGGUCGCAAGGCUGAAACUCAAAUGAAUUGACGG
rnacentral:rRNA from 1 species